UACGAAGGGGGCUAGCGUUGCUCGGAAUCACUGGGCGUAAAGCGCACGUAGGCGGAUUGCUAAGUCAGGGGUGAAAUCCUGGAGCUCAACUCCAGAACUGCCUUUGAUACUGGCGACCUUGAGUCCGGGAGAGGUGAGUGGAACUGCGAGUGUAGAGGUGAAAUUCGUAGAUAUUCGCAAGAACACCAGUGGCGAAGGCGGCUCACUGGCCCGGUACUGACGCUGAGGUGCGAAAGCGUGGGGGAGCAAACAGGG
rnacentral:rRNA from 1 species